rnacentral:rRNA from 1 species
GAUGAACGCUAGCGGCGUGCCUUAUACAUGCAAGUCGAACGAGUGGCAAACGGGUGAGUAAUGUAUGGGGACUGCCCGCUAGAGGGGGCUAACUACUGGAAACGGUAGCUAAUACAGCAUACUAUCGGAUAACCCAUAUGGGAUUAGCUAGUAGGUGAGGUAAUGGCUCACCUAGGCGACUAGCCCGAGCUGGUCUGAGAGGAUGAUCAGCCACACUGGGACUGAGACACGGCCCAGACUCCUACGGAGGCAGCAGUGGGGAAUAUUGCACAAUGGGCGCAAGCCUGAUGCAGCCAUGCCGCGUGUGUGAAGAAGGCUUUAGGGUUGUAAAGUACUUUCAGUCGGGAAGCGUUACCCACAGAAGAAGCACCGGCUAACUACGUGCCAGCAGCCGCGGUAAUAC